rnacentral:rRNA from 1 species
UACGUAGGGUGCGAGCGUUGUCCGGAAUUAUUGGGCGUAAAGGGCUCGUAGGCGGUUUGUCGCGUCGGGAGUGAAAACCCAGGGCUUAACUCUGGGCUUGCUUUCGAUACGGGCAGACUAGAGGUAUGCAGGGGAGAACGGAAUUCCUGGUGUAGCGGUGAAAUGUGCAGAUAUCAGGAGGAACACCGGUGGCGAAGGCGGUUCUCUGGGCAUUACCUGACGCUGAGGAGCGAAAGUGUGGGGAGCGAACAGG